UCCACACCUCCUCAAUUGUUGCAAUAAACUGAGCGACAGCCCCAGCCCUGCCACUGAGCUCAAGGCAAGCUGCUGAACACUUCCCACUGCAAAACUCCAUAUACUAAUAAACUUUCAAUAAGGCUGAAGAAAAGAAGAAAAGCCAAAGCAGGACUACACUACACAGCACAACAGACAUGGAUCUUGCCAACAAUAGAGGCCUCAACCUCAUGCUCAAUUUCUUGCUGAUUGUGAUGAUGCUCCUGCUAUUGUUCAUUUUGGUAAAGCUCUUGUAAGAUCCGUCCUCUAUACUGUUCUUGGAAAAAGAACAACUCCAGAGAUAAUAAUGACAAAUGGAAAGAACUGCAAUUCCUUUAUCCCUCAUGGGACAUAAAUACUACAUUUUCCAUUCUGAAUACAACUUGCUUUUAUCACACACUAACUUGAGAGAGAUGUACAUAAUUUCAAGUGAUUGAAAGAGGAAAAUGGUUUUCACAAAGCAACUAGUUACUUUUAACACAUUUGCUGGACUUCUUGAAGCAAUACAUAUUUAGGAUAAUCUUAUGCUGUAUACUCAUAUAUACAUAUAUAUUCUGUCUUGUAUCAUCUAAAACAGUAUGGGAUCCACUUGCCAGAUGCUAUUAUGAAUAGUGUGCUAGGACAUAAAAUAUAUUUACUACUAGCACAGAUUGCUAUUAUAUAUAUAAUAAGAAUCUUUUAGGGAUCAUGCAUAACGAUCUCUAAAAGUAUAUAUGGUACAGGUAUGGAAUCAGUAAUGGACCUUUCUGUAAUUUGGAUCUUUAUAGUCUACUAUAAAAUCAUGUAAACAUUAAAUAAACCCAAUAGGUUGGUUUAGCUUCUAAUAAGGAUUAAUUAUAUCUUAGUUUGGAUCAAGUACAAGGUACUGUUUUAUUAUUACAGAGAAAAACCUUGAUUAUUUGGAUAAAAUGGAGAUUGUGGGAGGCACCAUUUCUGUAAUUCAGAGCUUUCUGAAUAAUGGGUUUCCGGAUAAUGGAUCCCAUACCUGCAUAUAUCGAAUUAUGUGAAAUUAGAAUAUUGGAAGUCACUUGGUUUCAUGACCAUAGAAAGGCACACGCCAAUUGCUUUUAAACAGGUCAUGGAACCAAAAGUAUAUUAGAAGUCCUGUCCAGUAGAAUUGGUAGUAAAUUGUAGAAUAUUCCAUUAAACCUGUAGCCGGCAUAUUGUCCUCUUGAGAAGUAGCCAUGGCAGCAUAUGCACAAAUGAUAAAAAAAUGCCCCUUUGCUUGAUACAAAUCCAAGUCUAAUUGUCCUAAAUACAGCUUCUUCAAGACACGUUUCAGUGAUAAUUUACUGCAGUUGUACACCAGCUCUGUUGCAUACCACAAUCACUUUAGCCUCGCACCCAGUUACCUGUAAAAUGAGUCUUUAAGCACUUUUACACAAGGUUUUUUUUCCAAGGUAUUAUUCAAUUUUAUGUAAAGGAAUGCACACAGCAACUGCAUUAUUUAUUGGUCUCGAGGAGGAUUCUUCAUUUUAUCUAAAUGCCCAGCAAUGGCAGUUGUGGAUUAUCCUUGCCAUUAUUACUAAGUAAUGUACACUUUUAAAUAAAAAUGCGUAGAUUUUUGGUAGUCAAGAAAAAUCAAUCAUGGUUACAGACGGAAUGAUACAGAGACUGGGACAGACCAGUGGAUCUUCUGUUUUGCAAACGCACUGUUCCUGUAAAUAAAAAUCUUUUGUAUGUA